AUUGAACGCUGGCGGUAUGCUUAAGACAUGCAAGUCGAACGGUAACAGGUUAAGCUGACGAGUGGCGGACGAGUGAGUAACGCGUGGGAAUCUACCUUGUAGUGGGGGAUAAGCCAGGGAAACUUGGACUAAUACCGCAUACGCCCUAAGGGGGAAAGGCGCAAGUCGCUAUAAGAUGAGCCCGCGUCUGAUUAGGUAGUUGGUGGGGUAAAGGCCUACCAAGCCGACGAUCAGUAGCUGGUCUGAGAGGAUGAUCAGCCACGUCGGGACUGAGACACGGCCCGGACUCCUACGGGAGGCAGCAGUCGGGAAUAUUGGACAAUGGGGGAAACCCGUGAUCCAGCAAUACCGCGUGAAUGAUGAAGGUCUUAGGAUUGUAAAGUUACUUUAGCCUGUGACGAUGAUGACGGUAA
rnacentral:rRNA from 1 species